AUUGAACGCUGGCGGCAGGCCUAACACAUGCAAGUCGAGCGCGAAAGUUCUUCGGAAUGAGUAAAGCGGCGGACGGGUGAGUAAUACAUGGGAAUCUGCCUGGUAGUGGGGGACAACGUUUCGAAAGGAACGCUAAUACCGCAUACGCCCUACGGGGGAAAGGGGGGGAUCUUCGGACCUCUCGCUAUCAGAUGGGCCCA
rnacentral:rRNA from 1 species